UACGUAGGCAGCGAGCGUUGUUCGGAAUUACUGGGCGUAAAGAGUGUGUAGGCGGUGUUCCCAGUCUGUUGUGAAAUCUCCCGGCUUAACUGGGAGGGUGCAGCGGAAACUAGAAUGCUAGAGGGUGGGAGAGGUAAGCGGAAUUCCUGGUGUAGCGGUGAAAUGCGUAGAUAUCAGGAGGAACACCUGUGGUGUAGACGGCUUACUGGACCAUGACUGACGCUGAGGCACGAAAGCGUGGGGAGCAAACAGG
rnacentral:rRNA from 1 species